GCCCAAGUGGCGAAAUUGGUAGACGCGCUGGUUUCAGGGACCAGUGACCGCAAGGUCGUGUAAGUUCGAGUCUUAUCUUGGGUACAA
rnacentral:tRNA from 1 species